rnacentral:rRNA from 1 species
CCUACGGGUGGCAGCAGUGGGGAAUAUUGGGCAAUGGGCGCAAGCCUGACCCAGCAACGCCGCGUGAAGGAAGAAGGCUCUCGGGUUGUAAACUACUUUUAUCAGGGACGAAGCAAGUGACGGUACCUGAUGAAUAAGCCACGGCUAACUACGUGCCAGCAGCCGCGGUAAUACGUAGGUGGCAAGCGUUAACCGGAUUUACUGGGUGUAAAGGGCGUGUAGGCGGGAAGGCAAGUCAGAUGUGAAAACCAUGGGCUCAACCUGUGGACUGCAUUUGAAACUGUUGUGCUUGAGUACUGGAGAGGCAGACGGAAUUCCUGGUGUAGCGGUGAAAUGCGUAGAUAUUAGGAGGAACACCAGUGGCGAAGGCGGUCUGCUGGACAGCAACUGACGCUGAGGCGCGAAAGCGUGGGGAGCAAACAGGAUUAGAUACCCCUGUAGUC